AUGCUUGAAUUUUUCGAGAAGAAGCUGAAGCAAGUUGACAACAGAGCUAGGUUCCUCUCUGGUGUUCUGAGUGGUGAUAUCAAGAUCAUUCCCAGGAAGCAAAAGGAUCUGCUACAAGAGAUUGCUGAAAAGGGAUUUGAUACCCUCCCAAAGGAAGUUCUGCCCGCUGCCGUAGGAGCAACAAUAUACAGGGAAGAAAAUGGAAGAAGCCCUGAUGUACAUGCCAGUGAUUAUGAUUAUCUCACCUCCAUGACAAUUUCUGCCUUAAAUGAGGGGUACCUGGAGCAUCUUCUAGAACUAAAGAAGAGGUUUGAAACUAAAGUUGGACUCCUGAGAAGAGCUACACCGGAAUGUCUGAAAUCUGCAAAGAAACGAACUAUAACUCUUGAUAUACAGUUGCUUGAUGCAAACUAUAUAAAAGCUCAAUCAGAUAGAAAGGUUGUGAUAGUCAUUGAUUGCAAACACAACAAGGUAUUUGAAGCAGCCCCCAGGAGACAACAUAAAAGGACUGCAGCCGAGUAUCUUGAGGCAAGUGUGGUGCUGAUGGAUGAUGAUGAGGAUCAUCUUGCUGGAAGUCUCGAGACCCAAGAAUUUAGUGAGACUGAGAACACACAAAAGCAACAAGCAAAGAAGCAGAAGAAACAAAGAAAGAAGCGGGGGAAGGAAGAAAGCAAAACAGGCGCAAUAUCUUGCCGCGGACUAGACUGUCAGGGCCAUGACAGAUCAAGCCAUGCCUUCCUCAACGAAGAAAUUAAGAAGAUUGCAAGUGGCUUAGAUGGUGUUAAGAUCACUCAUGGUAAUAUGGAUCGGAAUAGGGUAGCUCAGGUGUUGGCUAAGUUAAGCCUGCAGGAUGCAUCUGUGUCAGCUUAG
rnacentral:rRNA from 1 species